AUUGAACGCUGGCGGCAGGCCUAACACAUGCAAGUCGAGCGGAGCGGCGGACGGGUGAGUAAUGCCUAGGAAUCUGCCUGGUAGUGGGGGAUAACGUCCGGAAACGGGCGCUCAUACCGCAUACUAUCAGAUCAGCCUAGGUCGGAUUAGCUAGUUGGGGGGGUAAAGGCCUACCAAGGCGACGAUCCGUAACUGGUCUGAGAGUAUGAUCAGUCACACUGGAACUGAGACACGGUCCAGACGCCUACGGGAGGAAGCAGUGGGGAAUAUGGGACAAGGGGCUAAAGCCUGAUCCAGCCAUACCGCGUGAGUGAAGAAGGACUUCGGGUUGUAAAGCCCUUUUGUUGGGAAAGCGGUAACCAAAGAAUAAGCACCGGCUAACUUCGUGCCAGCAGCCGCGGUAAUAC
rnacentral:rRNA from 1 species